GAUGAACGCUAGCGGCAGGCUUAAUACAUGCAAGUCGAGGGGCAGCAUGAUUGUAGCAAUACAAUUGAUGGCGACCGGCAAACGGGUGCGGAACACGUACACAACCUUCCAACAAGUGGGGGAUAGCCCAGAGAAAUUUGGAUUAAUACCCCGUAACAUAGCGAUGUGGCAUCACAUUGCUAUUAUAGAUUUUUCGCUUGUUGAUGGGUGUGCGGCUGAUUAGAUAGUUGGCGGGGUAACGGCCCACCAAGUCUACGAUCAGUAGCUGAUGUGCGAGCAUGAUCAGCCACACGGGAACUGGGACACGGGCCCGACUCCUACGGGAGGCAGCAGUAAGGAAUAUUGGACAAUGGACGCAAGUCUGAUCCAGCCAUGCCGCGUGAAGGAUUAAGGUCCUCUGGAUUGUAAACUUCUUUUAUAAGAGACGAAAAAAGGCUUUUCUAAGUCGUCUGACGGUACCUUAUGAAUAAGCACCGGCUAACUCCGUGCCAGCCGCCGCAGUAAGAC
rnacentral:rRNA from 1 species